UCUUGUUGUCUUUUGCAGACCAAACUCCCCAAAUCCUCGGAACUGACCGUUGCUGAAACCACUCAUAUGGUUAUACCUGCACAGUUCAUAAACACAGUCCACACAAAUCUAACGACAAAAGAUAAACACCACACUGACUAAUUAAUUAACCAUAUUGCAAAUCUAUCAUUUCGUUCAAAUUAUGUUUAAAUAGAAAAAUCUAAAAAUCUUUUAUUUUUUUAACAAAAAGGGAAUUUAUCGAUCCAUAUCUUACCACAAUCUAAAGAGGGGAGGUUGCAAGUAGUGGUAAAUGUGGUGGCUGCUCGAAGGGCGUUACAUAUACAAUCUUUGUUAGUUGCUUGGAGAGCAAUGCAGCAAUUUGAAUUCGGGGCUGGAUU
rnacentral:lncRNA from 1 species